rnacentral:snoRNA from 1 species
CUUAAGUAGUGUAGUGCUGUAAAUGUGGACGUAAAGCAUUACAUGGGCUUUAGGUGGGCAUGCAAGGAGUAUCUGGAUGCCCAUAAAGAAACCUCCGGAUAUAG